UAACCUUUUUUUAACCUCAUCCCACAGAAUUUUCCUAACAUUGGCGCCAAAAUCAUAGGCGAAAUGGUUGACCGAGACUUGGUCACAGCCAUUCAGACGGCUGUCGCCUCUGGAAUAAGGUCUGCUUUGUCAUCUAUGCUGACAACAUCAGCAACAGCUGGACUGUCAACCUCAGCCACAACCUCGGCUACCACUGCAGUAAGACUAGUACCCCUUCCAUCAGUCCCUCAGAACAGCUGGGGUACAAAUCGAAGGACUCGUAAGAGGCAGAGAACGUACACAAAAGACGUGAUCUGUUUGCCAUUUAGUACAGCAACAACAAUGAACAUCCCAAGAGGUCAUUCCCGCAAUAAUUUAGCAGAAUCAGGUCUUAUUGGGAAAAUUUCUUUUGGGUCUGACUGGUCUGAAUUACAGCUACGUGCUGAAAUAUCAGCCAUUUUCAGAAGCAGCUUUGGGCUGGCAGAGAAUCAAAUGCUGCCAUUUGAAUACCUGGGAACUAUAAAAGGCAGUAAGAAAUGAAUGAAACCAAAAGUCACCAGGUCCUUCCCAUGGGGAGGUAAGGAGGUGGCCUCUAUCUGCUCUCAAACAUGCCUGUAUGUAUUGGCUGGAAUACACAAACCCAAUCAGGUAAAAUUAAACAAUGUUAUAUUUUAGAAAUAUUGUAAACAUGAUGUAUCUUUUGUUUAUGAUGAACAACUCUGUUCCUGCACAGGACGAAAUCAUUGAUGUCCCUGAUGAUGAUGAUGAUGACGAUGAUUUCCAAAUGCCACAAAGAAGACAACUGCGCCAGAGAGAGCCUUUGCCUACAAGGGAA